GCGGGGUAAAACCGGGCUGCCCCGGACUGGGGCUUCACCUAUUUUCAUGGAAUAAGGACUGAUAUGGAGCUAGGAAGCCAUGAAUCCCCCUUGACUAAUGCUGGGAACAAGGCCGCUCUACUCCCAUCUGUCUUCUAAGUCCACUUUAACUCUCUCAUUUUUAUUUCUGAUUUUAUUUGCUGUCAUUGUUAGCUUAAUUCUCAUUUUCCUGAUUGUUGAUUUAUUUUUAUUUAUUUAUAUUUAUUACUAUUAUUUUUACUGUUGAUCAUUACUUCAUUUCCACUUUUCUUUUUGUUUUCCAGGGGCCAUAGCAGUUCAGUCUUGCUGCAUGGGAUGUCUGUGCCGUAUUAUCAAACUUACUCAAUUUGGUUUAUUGUAAAUAAAUUAUAUUACAAAACCAAACCAGAAACUAUCAGGAAAUUAGAUUUUACAGGUGAACAAUAUUAUUAUUUUAAAAAUGGUAAGAACUACCACUUUUGUCUUGUAUAUAUU
rnacentral:lncRNA from 1 species